GGAUAACUUCGGGAAACUGAGGACAAUACCUAAUACAAAACUAUGUCUGGAAUGACUUGUUUUUGAAACGUAAGGCCUAAAGAUGAGUCGGCGGCGGAUUAGGUUGUUGGCGGGGUAAUGGCCCACCAAGCCUCUGAUCCGUACGGGCCCUGAAAGGGGGAGCCCGGAGAGGGAUACUGAGAUACUGAUCCCAGCCCUACGGGGUGCAGCAGGCGCGAAACCUUUACAAUGCACAUUGGUGUGAUAAGGCAACUCUCAGUGCUAUUGCGUAUGCAAUGGCUUUUGCCAUGGGUAAGUACCAUGGCGAAUAAGGGGUGGGCAAGACUGGUGCCAGCCGCCGCGGUAAUCCCAGCGCCCCGAGUAGCGACCGCUAUUACUAGGCCUAAAGCGUCCGUAGCCGGUUAGGUAAAUCUUCUGUGAAAUUGUUGGGCUUAACCCAUCAGCGUGCAGAGGAGACUGCCUAGCUAGGGACCGGGAGGCGCAGAAAGUAUUCUGGGGGGAGUGGUAAAAUGCGAUAAUCCCCAGAGGACUACCUGUGGCGAAGGCGUUCUGCGAGAACGGGUCCGACGGUGAGGGACGAAGGCUGGGGGAGCAAACCGGAUUAGAUACCCGGGUAGUCCCAGCAGUAAACUCUGCGAGCCAGGCGUUGCAUGUCUGAUGAGGACUUGCAGUGCCGAAGCGAAGGCGUUGAGCUCGCCGCCUGGGGAGUACGGUCGCAAGGCUGAAACUUAAAGGA
rnacentral:rRNA from 1 species